GGCGUGCGUAUGUGGUUGAUAUAUAUGUAGCCCCUCAAGGAGGCUACUGCCUUCACACGGCAGGGGUCGCUGGUUCAAAUCCAGCCGCACCCACCA
rnacentral:tRNA from 1 species